GUAAUGGCGAAUGAACUCGGAGCAGCUCAGAGUGGAAAUCAAGGCCCGAGGCCUUGAAUUGUAAUUUGUAACUGCGUUGCCAACGCGGGCGCAAAUAUAAGUCGCUUGGAAGAGCGCACCACAGAGGGUGAGAGUCCCGUCUAUAAUUUGCAGCCUCGUGUGUACGGCACGCUGUGCAGAGUCACGUUCCUUGGGAAUGGAGCGCAAAGUGGGUGGUAAAUUUCAUCUCAAGCUAAAUAUGAAUUUGAGACCGAUAGCAAACAAGUACCAUGAGGGAAAGGUGAAAAGUACUUUGAAAAGAGAGUUAAAAGUGCCUGAAAUUGCUGGAAGGGAAGCGAAAGGAACCAGCCUGCAUGGUAAGAUUGUCGUGUGAGCUUCUAAAGCCGCACAAUGCAUCUGGCCAUGGCAAUCGUCGGUGGUUGUCGGCCGAGGAUACAAGCAGCUCUUCCCAGCUUCUUUCGAGAUUGCGGAAGCGUUGCUUAAACCCGCUUGGCGACCAUUUCCCUAUCUGGAGUUGAUGUAAGUUUCGCGCUUGCAUUCAACCCGGAUGCUCGACGAUCAAAUGGUUCUUCUCGACCCGUCUUGAAACACGGACCAAGGAGUCUAGCAACUGUGCGAGUUCAUGGGAUAUAAACCUAUUUUCGCAACGAAAGUGACUGCUGAGAUAUUUCCACCAGCAACCGACCAAUCAAUUGAGUGCGGUUUGAGUGUAAGCAUAUUUGUUAGGACCCGAAAGAUGGUGAACUAUGCCUGUGAAGGGUGAAGCCAGGGGAAACUCUGGUGGAGGCUCGUAGCGAUACUGACGUGCAAAUCGUUCGUC
rnacentral:rRNA from 1 species